GUGUGUUGCACCAGAGGUAGGACAGCUACAACCAAUACGUCCUGAAGGGACUAGGGUACAAGCAGAUCCCCUGCUCUAUAGUACAUGGUACAUGGAGGGAGGAAAUGAGGUCAGGCGCUCGACGCGUCCAAAUUUAGGACAGCGGCCUUUGAGGUACAGAUGAAGUAAUAGCAGGGACUGCUGAUAUUUUAUUGUGGGGGGGUGUGACGGGAUCUGAGUAUUAAUGUCAUUUUUUUAUUAAUUGGAUAAUCUCCUGCAUAAUCGUUGUUGUUUUUAUUAAUGGCCUCGUCUGUAUUGCCUUGCUCAGCGUUUUCUUUUUAUGAGCAACAGACUGUUGCGUAUGCCAGCAUGAUGAGCUGAUGAGGGAGGGGUGGAGACUGUGCCCUUUAAAAGCAUGCUGUAGAGACUGUGUGAGAGAGCGCCUUACGGAAAACGGGCAGUCACGUGGGAAUAGCGGAAGUGUGACUGGCGAGCUGGCGUCUUCCGGAGACCGCGUGAGCGGGUGGAUGAACGGCGAACACGCUGACAGACUCGGAGGUUAUACCAGUAUGCAACGAGUGUAAGCAGCUCCAUGUGCAGUGUAUACGCUGAAGGACGAGGUUAGCUACACUAUGUGAUGAGUGCGGGUUGGACUGGCGUGUAGUGACGACGCCGAGAGAGAGCGAGAGGAAUCCACGCUGUGAGUGGAGCGUAAGAGUGUUUAUCCCGGCGGAACAGAGGACUCUGGUUACAACGCUGGACUUCGCGUAGACUGGGUAGUGGGAAUUGCUACCCGGUCCUAUUUGUGCUGUUUAAAUCCGGUGGAGACUUAGGCCACUGUAGGACUGAAUCGAAGUGGUGCACUUGCUCUGAUCGAGCCUGGACCAAUUGGACUGCUCCUUUGGACUAACAUCAUCUUGCAUCCUUCUUAAGGACUUCUCAGUGUGCUAUUUUUUUAUUGAAUGUUGCAUUGAUUUCCAAAUCUUAAAUCUUUUUAUCUGUGUAUUUAAUAAAAGGUCUUUGUAAUUUGA